CGCGUAGGCGGCAUUACAAGUCAGCUGUGAAAGCCCCGGGCUUAACCCGGGAAUUGCAUCUGAAACUGUUUUGCUUGAGUCCUGGAGGGGGUAGUGGAAUUCCCAGUGUAGCGGUGAAAUGCGUAGAUAUUGGGAGGAACACCUGCGGCGAAGGCGGCUACCUGGACAGUGACUGACGCUGAGGCGCGAAAGCUAGGGGAGCGAACG
rnacentral:rRNA from 1 species